UUUGGGACUGACUCUGAAGUUGAUGGCUAUAUAUAGAGUUACAAAAGAAAGAGAAGCUCCAGGGUCUAGUAAUGCAUAAACAUGUAAGUGAAAGACUUUUAAUGUACCAGUAACUACGUUAGGAGAAAUUUUUUGAUCUUGGCGGGAUUGAAGAGUAUAUAAUCAUUUCAGACGCUGACCACUGGUUUCACUAGAAGCGGAACCCUACUGAGUCGGGCGAACGGAUAGAACUGACA
rnacentral:lncRNA from 1 species